UCCCCUGUGGUCCAGUGGUUAAGGCUCUGCUUUCCCAAUGCAGGAGGUCUGGGUUCAAUCCCUUGUCAGGGAA
rfam:TPA: Bos taurus chromosome 5, whole genome shotgun sequence.